UGCUCACAGUUCAGGUGAUGCACCAUGCUGGAGAGUUAAAGCUGUUUGUACUCCUGCGGCGACUUUGAAACCUGGCUGGUCGUGAUCUGCCUUCUUUUGCCUUUAAUAUGCUAGGAGCCAUCCAAAAUGUGCAAAGAAAAAGGAGUGAAAUUCUCCUGUCUUCUGUGACCCAGCACUAAUCAGAUAGUACCAGAGAAUUUACAAGAGUACUUUCAUCUCUUUUACAGCCUGGGCUUGGAGGUCUGGAUAGUUCAGGUUAUUUUCCAUAGUCUGGGGGAUAAGUCAAGAUGCUCUGCUGAAUGACUGCUGAGGAGGCAACCCAUAUGAAAUUUAGACUGAUCAUCAGCCCAUCUGUUUUCAACAACAAUUCAUUCCAUUCAUCGAGUUCACUUUGGAUUUUGUAGCUGGAAAUGGAUUAGAUCAGUAAUAAGUCUGCUUGGAGUCACUGUCUAGGGAUGUGCAUUUCCACAUACGGCUGCAAGGAAGAUGAGAAUCUAAAGGUUCUUCUUAAUGAAGGAGCCCCUGCCUGAAGUAUUAAAUGUUUUUCAGAAAUAGUACUACAAUAAGAAUGAUAGAAUAUAUUUUUAUUGCCUUUUUUUUUUUUAAUUACUGGAUCCAUUCCUUAAAUUUAAAACUGUGCGUAUGUCUAGUCGACAUUUUCAUCAACAUAAUUGGAUUUGUCAUGGGUACAUUGGAUGUAUUUUUCUCCUUUCGUAUGAGAAUAUGUGAUGACACUCGCAUGUGCUACAUACAGCAAAUCUAGUUCUCCCCAGAGGCAGCCUCACACAGCAGCAGAAGCAAAACUGGUCCUCUCUGCCCUAUGAGAAGGAAUGAACACACUGAGAGACACACCAAAGUGGGAAUUCCUCUGCUACUCGCAAGUGCAACAUUGCAGCUUCUUUCUAUGCCAAGGUACUCUCUCCCUAUGUUCCCACUGAUAAGACCAAAAGAAAUGCUGAACAUAAGAAAGGAAGCUGCUCCUGGAAUCUGCUCUGUGAGAAUGCUGCAGCUUGUAAUUCUCAUUUUCUCUGCUUCCAAGGGACCUCAUGUCUGUCAUUCCUGAGGGCACACAAAAAUCCCAUUUGGGAUGGUCUUUAAAGGGCUUCAGAGACCCAGUGUAUAUGUUUGUAAAUAAGGAUUCAGAAGAUCUGAAGAAAAUGAGGGAAGGGGAAAUCUGGAGGGUUGCAGAUAGCUAUAUUAGUGCCCAAAAAGGCUUUUCCUAGUUUGCUAGUGUUCUUUCUUGUCUUAAUUUGGUUGAAUUUUUAAGUAGCAUGUCUAGA